rnacentral:rRNA from 1 species
UACGGAGGAUGCGAGCGUUAUCCGGAUUUAUUGGGUUUAAAGGGUGCGUAGGCGGAUUGAUAAGUCAGUGGUGAAACCCUGCAGCUUAACUGUAGGCUUGCCGUUGAUACUGUCAGUCUUGAGUGUGGUCAAGGUAGGCGGAAUGUGUAAUGUAGCGGUGAAAUGCUUAGAUAUUACACAGAACACCGAUUGCGAAGGCAGCUUGCUGGACCAUUACUGACGCUGAUGCACGAAAGCGUGGGGAUCGAAC